rnacentral:rRNA from 1 species
AUGAACGCUGGCGGCGUGCCUAAUACAUGCAAGUCGAGCGAACAGACGAGGAGCUUGCUCCCCUGACGUUAGCGGCGGACGGGUGAGUAACACGUGGAUAACCUACCUAUAAGACUGGGAUAACUUCGGGAAACCGGAGCUAAUACCGGAUAAUAUAUUGAACCGCAUGGUUCAAUAGUGAAAGACGGUCUUGCUGUCACCUAUAGAUGGAUCCGCGCCGCAUUAGCUAGUUGGUAAGGUAACGGCUUACCAAGGCAACGAUGCGUAGCCGACCUGAGAGGGUGAUCGGCCACACUGGCACUGAGACACCGUCCAGACUCCUACGGGACGCAGCAGUAGGGAAUCUUCCGCAAUGGGCGAAAGCCUGACGGAGCAACGCCGCGUGAGUGAUGAAGGUCUUCGGAUCGUAAAACUCUGUUAUUAGGGAAGAACAAAUGUGUAAGUAACUAUGCACGUCUUGACGGUACCUAAUCAGAAAGCCACGGCUAACUACGUG